rnacentral:other from 1 species
UGCCCUCUGCGGUGUUCGCGAGCGGCCUAGUAAUCGCUUGAGCCUAAUCGUCCACCCACGGGAGCUGACCGACGGUGUUGUUGUGCAUGUCCGUCCUGGCAGCGGAAAGCCUGAUACGCCACGAAAAGCUCCCUUUUGAACCAAACUGGUUCAAGGGUCAUGGCGCGCCGCGGCAUAUGCGGAGGGUGU